CGCCCUCCCAGCCGCCACUUCCCGCUUCCUCCCGGCCCGGCAGAGCAGGGCAGCGCAGGCCGGCCCUCCCGCCGCCGCUUCCAGCCCUGCGCACUGGGCGCACCCCCCGGGGCGGGCCGGGCCGGGGCCGGGGGCGGGCCGCGGGCGGGGGGAGCGGCGGGCGGCCAAUUGCGGCCCCCCGGGGAGCGGCUCUGGCGGGGCCGUCGCCCGCGCUUGCAGGGAAGGAUGGAGGGAGAGGGCCGGGUACCGGGGCCGCCGCUCCCCACGCCUUCCCCCGGCGGCGGGGGAGGGGCUGGGGCCGACGCCGACCCACCGGCCGGUGCCCCAGGCUCGAUCCGGGGGCCGCUGCUCGCCGCCGCCGAGGUGCUGUCUCUGGACGAUGAGGAGGACGACCUGGAGGUGUUCAGCAAGGGUACGUCGCUGGGCGAGGUAAACUCAUUCAGUCCUUCAAUGCCAAUAUCCCCCUCAUCAAUGAUAAACCAGUAUAAAUUUGAAGAUGAACCAGAAUUAAAAGAUCUCUUCAUUACAGUCGAUGAUCCUGAAAGCCACAUUACAGCCAUUGAAACAUUUAUUACAUACAGAGUAGUCACAAAGACAUCUCGUGGUGAAUUUGACUCCAGUGAAUAUGAAGUUCGAAGACGAUAUCAGGAUUUCCUUUGGUUGAAGAGCAAACUUGAAGAAGCACAUCCGACACUGAUUAUUCCUCCGUUGCCUGAAAAAUUUAUAAUGAAAGGAAUGGUGGAACGGUUUAAUGAUGAAUUCAUUGAGACUCGAAGAAAAGCUUUACAUAAAUUUUUGAACCGUAUUGCUGAUCAUCCAACUUUGACUUUUAAUGAAGACUUCAAAAUUUUUCUUACUGCGCAGGCCUGGGAACUCUCCUCCCACAAGAAGCAGGGCCCCGGUUUGCUGAGCAGGAUGGGACAGACCGUCAGAGCUGUAGCAUCCUCAGUGAGAGGAGGAGUUAAAAAUCGUCCUGAAAUGUUUACAGAAAUGAACGAUUACAUGGAAACAUUUAGUCAGAAAAUAAACGUGCUCGACAAAAUAGCACAUAGGAUUUACAAGGAAGAAAGGGAGUAUUUUAAUGAAAUGAAGGAAUACGGCCCCAUCCACACACUUUGGUCAGCAUCGGAAGAAGAUAUAGCAGAUUCCCUAAAAGGUGUUGCCAGCUGCAUCGACAAGUGUUGCAAAGCCACAGAGAAGCGAAUGGCAGGGCUCUCGGAAAACCUGCUGCCAAUUUUACAUGAAUAUGUUCUCUACAGUGAAAUUCUGACGGGUGUUUUGAAAAGGAGAGACCAAAUUCAAGGCGAGCUCGACUCCAAAAUUGAUGCUUUAGCCAAUAAAAAGACAGAAAAGGAUCUGUUCUCAGAAGAGAUUGGGAAACUUGAAGACAAAGUCGAAUGUGCCAAUAAUGCCCUGAAAGCGGAUUGGGACAGGUGGAAGCAAAACAUGCAGUAUGAUAUGAGAUCAACGUUCACUAAUGUGGCUGAGAAUAAUCUCCAUUAUUAUGAAGAGUGCCUUGCAACAUGGGAGUCCUUCCUAGCAUCUCAAAGAGUGGAUCUUCAUGUGGAAGAAGAUUCUGAAGACAGGCCUUGAGUAAUAUCUCUGCUCGAUCUCUGCCUUUUCCAUGCAUUUUCUCCCAGCCAAAGAAGUGCUUUACACAAGAUCAGAUACAUUAUUAAAUUUAACUGUUAAAAAUCAGUGAAAUGCAGGAAACCAGCUUAUUGAAAACUCAGCUAUAAAAUAGCAGUUAGGAUGCUUCUUAAACACUGCACGAAGCAUGCAUCACUCCCAGCGUGGGCAACUCGCAGAUGAGAGGCGAGCGGGUCCGUGUGAGGAGGAAGGUGGGGUGGUGCCGAGGGUGCCGCGCAGCCUCGUGUCCAGCAGUGCUGGCAGCGGAUGCCUGCAGGAGGCAUGGAAGAACAACGUGCCUGGACUCUGCUCUUUUCCCACUGUAUCCUUCCUGCUGAUUCUUUUUUUACAUCAGAGAUUCUGUCAAUGUGCUUAAUAGCCCUUAAUGCCUUUUCCUCUGCUUUAUUUUCUUUUUUUUCUAUCUUAAACUUUUAGGAUUUACCAUGCUGAAUAUCAAUGGAUUCCACAAUUUAAUUUGCAGCACAAAUCAAUUUAUUUUGUGAUUUCCUAAACCAGCUACCCAAUAAUUUCAGGUAAUGCCCUCUGCCUCUUAAAUUGUGAGAAGAGAUGAAAAAUUGUUUCCUAUUUGUCUUCCCUGUGCCACUCAAGAAUUUACAAACCUCUAGUGUGUCUUCCAAGCGCUGCCUCUUUUCCCAGAGGAAAAGCCGUAGCUUAAUAUCAUCUUGUACAAAAGGCAUUUCACAUCUGUGCUCAUCGUUGUAUAUUUUCUAGUUCUGCUGCAACUGGUGUUCAAAAUGCAGGCACACCAGAAAUGUACAUUUUGCAAUAAUUAUGCUUUGAUUCUUUUCAUCAUUCUUUCCCACUAAUUCCAAAUUUAUUUUUUAAAGUACCACUGAAUGCUGAGCUGCCAUUCUAUAGAACUGUCCGCUAACAUUAAGAGCUAUUCUGAAGGUUACUAAAUAAUUUAAUUUCCAUCAGUGUGUAUAUCUAGAAGUGGCUUUUCCCCAGUGAGCAUUAAUUUGCAUUUAUUAAUACUGAAUUUUGUCUGCUGUUUCUAGCUCCUAAUCUCUCAGCAGCAUACAGUCCUACAAACAGGAUUCCAAAAAAACAGGCUGCAGUAACACUCUGUAUACCAGAUAAGCGAAAAUUCAAGAAAUUGAGCUUGAACAGGCUUACCUGGAAGGAUACGAAUGUUUAAGGGUAACCAAAAAUUAAAUACCAUGACUCUCAUUUAGGCUCCUGUAAGAAAAGGUAGUGUCUGGGUAGCUGAGAUGGGCAAUGCCGAUGUGCAUUGCAUUGAUUUUAUCUGUAUGUUCUGCGGGAGCAGAAAGCUGCUCUCUGAGGCAUUUGGAAAUCAGAUGCACCAUCAGAGAUUUUGCUGUCAUUUUGUUGUCAUUUUUCUGAUUUUCUAGUAGCAGUAUCAUAAUGCAAACCCAAGGUCUAUUGUUAAGUACAAUCAAACAUUGUCCUUUUUGUGUCAUGCAAAUAUUUCCGAAACUUACAAUUUUAUAGUCUAUUGUGUAUUUAGACCUAUUUCCAAAGAUUUUUAUUUUUAUGGAGUCUCACCUUCCUUAGGCUAAUGCUUAGAAAGUGCUUAAACUAUUCGAUUACUCAAAAUCAAUCUGCCUAUACUUACUGGAUUUUCUUUCUGCUAUUUUCAGAUAGCUUUGUACACCUUGCUAGAGCCCAGCCACUGUAAAUGACUUCUGAAGUGCCAGAAGUCUGACUAGGAAUUCAACUUUCAGGCACGUAUAGCUAAAAGCUUCUGUCUGGAGGCCUGGACGUCCUUAUGCAGAUUGAAAUUAAUUAAACACUUAAAAGGCAAAUGUGAUCUUCAAGAAAAGAAACCAGUGUAAAAAUGGUGUGAUGGUUUAGCGUGUCUGUCUGCAGACAGCAUGAAACAACAGCUCUGAACGGUAGAAACUUUCCCAUCCAGUUCUGUGUGGGUUUUGCUCUCAAAUUUAUGUGAGAUCACUUUAAAACCAGCAUUAGUAUUUUAUUGUAAAAUAGAAAAUUCAAACUGCACCUGCAGUUUCCUAGCUAGAUAAUCACCACUUGUGGAAGACAGAACUGGCACAGCUUAUCAGCACCCUCGGGCAGCCAGCGACAACGUGACCGAGCGUGUUUUUUCCUGGCCCAACAACUCCAUUUUUUGCAGUGAUGCCUUUUCUGCCCAGCAUCAGAGAUGGCACCACUGGCAGGUAAUCGCGAGUUAAUGGUCAAAUACUUUCAAAAUGCCCAUUACAGCAUUCUGAAUUUAUGUACAGGUACUUGGAAAGCACAAAUGAAAUAAAUAUUUAACAGAAAGGAAAGAGGCCUCCUUUUUCGCCCAGAGUUCAGUGUGCAAACCCUGACUCCUGGCUGACCACAACCAGCUUCCUCAGACAGUGCUGGGAUUGCGCAGUGUGCGGGGCUGCAAGGUUUAGUCAUUGGCAUCUGUGUCUUGACCAUAAAGAGGAAACAAUCCCAAGACAGAAGAAAAGGUCAGUUGCUGAGAACAUGCUGCCUCUUUACAUGUGAGUGGUUCAUACCUAGGGCCUGUAAACAAUGCCUUUCUCUCUCUCGUUAGACUGAAAACACAUACAAAGAACAAAAAGCUUCUCAGCUACCUAAGAGGGGAGCUGCCACCAGUGCAAACUGCUGGUAAUAAAGGUAAAACAGAGAUGGCUUAUAUGGGUAAGGCAUCGGUGGCUCUAAGCACUGAACAAUUUUAAAUGGUUGCCUGGUGCAGACUCCGUUGCUUGACAAGCUUUGAGUGAUCUUUGGCAAGUUGCAUGUCCAGAGAAAAAGGAAAUAAAUAUGGGCAGAAAAAAAGAGCUGCUGGCCCCUGCUGCCGUCAGCCUGUACCCAAAAUAGUGACUUUUCAAAAAGAUUUGGGCUUUAUAUAUUGAAAUUCAUUCAUUUGCCUAAUUGCUAUGGGCAGGAUUUCACUGAUAGCGUCACUAAAAUAAGGAUAAUGCUGGCAUAAAUUAAUCAUGAAACCAACCUUCCAGCAGGACUCUGCAGGCUAGGAGGAAUAUGAAGGAGGUUCCUUUCAUAUGCCCAACUCACACUUCAAUAUUGCCUAUCACCCUAUUGCACAAACAGUCCCUUGCAGCUUAGUGAAGAAUGGACAAGGGCAGAGGUGUAUGUAAUAGGCUCCUCUGAUAUGGUUUAAGUUUACUCAAACAAAAUGGCUAAAUAAACCUUUUCUGACAAAUGGAGGAGCUCCUGCCUGGUAGCUGGUGGGCCUGACUCGAGUAACUAGAGGAUCAAAUUGUACAGCCUUAGCAGAAAGCACCUGGACAGCAAGGUGCACAGCUUUGAAGCUUUUGCUGUGUGACCCAGUCAUGAACUGUUGAUUGGCUUGUUGUUGCCUUGACACUAGCCCUGCCAUCAUCUUGGAGAGCGAAAAGCCUUAUCUAUUCAGUCCCACAAAGGCAGAUAGUGAAUCUAGAGUGAUUAAAAGAAAUGUUGGCCAACAAACUGAACCUCAAACUCCUUCAAGAAACGUACUGUGCUGCUUUUCCAAGCUGCACUGAUGUUCGGGUGCAGCCCCACUGCCGGCAGGGGCUCAGCCCUGCUGGGAGGAACAGAGAGGCAACAGUUCAUCCGAACCUGCAAGGGGCAGCCACAAACUCUCAGUGGAUUUGGGAGGUUUUGGGGACCUGAAAAGGGAAGGUACAUCCUGGUUUACGUAAGAUACACAAUUAAAGCAAUGCAGAAAUGUAAAAUGAUGUCCUUGUUUAAAAUAUAAUCGGAAAAAUGAUCAAAAAACAUUGUAUUAGUUUUCCUACAGGCAAAAAGCCAUACUUUGAGGUUUAAAAUUUUUGAUCUAGACUGUGACAUGACACUGAGUUUUCAGCAGGAAUAAUUCCUUUUAUAACUGUAUUGCUUAGAAGGUUAGUAAUGGAAAAAGCAUUAUUAUGUCUGUAUUAAUAAUUAACCAAGAGUUGCCAGUAAGCCAUUAACUGUCAAAGCCAAGCUAAGAAAAUUCCUUGGAAUCAAGGUAUGGUUGGUUACACAGUGUGGGGAAGAUUCACUGUUCUUCAAGUAAUUGUUAUAACACUUUGUCAGCUUGAAGAGCAACUGAAUUGCCUUUUUGAAUUAACUCCUUUAAUCAAAAAAUAAGUGGUUGCAAUGUUAUAAUGUGAUUUUUGUUUUUUUACAAAAGUAAAGCAUCUCAACAGGCUCUUUUGCAAAUGAAAAGAAAAUCGGAUGUUUGUGGUUUUAUUUGUACUCUGGAAUUGUGUUCAUUUAAAUAAUAAAUUAAGCUUUCACCAGGAGGUAAAAAAAUUGGAUGUAAAAUGAGAGCCAAGCAAGAAGCUCCAUACACGUACAGCUGUCACAAAGCUCCUUACUUCCAAGUGGGGCACUGUUUUUUUUCACGCCGAUGCUGCAUUAUUUGGCUGUUGGGUUACAAGACAAAGCCAGAGUCGCCCUGAAGAUCUGCACCUCCUGCCCAGGAGCCUGUAAGAAUUGCUUUGGGCCCCACAAAGCUGGUACUGAGCCCUUAAGGCUGGCAGGGGCUACCUAAAGGAGCAGCAGCUCAUGGAAGUUUCAGAACCACUAAUGCUUUUUCAUCUAUUUUUACUGCUUCAUACCUCAGUAUACACGGUACAAGAGUCCAAAGUUUCUACCUCAUAAAAGCAAAAGAGGUAAGUUUAUGAGGGUCCCUUUCAACCUAAAAAGUAUUCUAUGAGUCUAUAAAGUGAAAACUGAAAGUAAUUCUAUGAAGAGAAAAACUAUUAUAGGAAUUCAGUACAUCCUCUCCUACUUUUAUCCACCAGCAAUACCUUUUGCAAUAAACAAAAAAGCCUGGCAGAUACUCUGCUGACAUAAAAGUAAGGCUAAAGCAAGGUUAGAGAAGUAUUUGUAAUUGGGUUUGAGAGAAAACAGCUAAGUGAGAAUAGCUCUUUGGAGAUUAUAUAUUCAUUCACUGACAGGACAGUACAUAUUUUAUAAGCGAAUUAAUUAUGACAGCUUAACAUAUUAAAGUAAGUUGUUCAAUAUUCAUUGGUGCCUUCCAGCAUGUUACUUUAUUCCUGUGAUUGCAUGUAUUUUGUUACCAUCUCACUGUGGGGAAGAAAAACAAUGGAGAAAUAUAAAAGGACAAGCACAAAAGCAGAAAAAGCAACUAAUUUAUAAUCUUCUGUGAUGAUGAUUGUACACUAUGGCACAUCAAUUGUUAAAAGAAUUUAAAAAUAUCAUACAAAUACAGUUGUGCCUCAUUUUGUCACAUAUGGCUACAGCGAAUUAAGAAAUACACUUCUGCUGAAGACUGAACCUAGAACUUUUUUUUUUUGU